rnacentral:rRNA from 1 species
AGGCAGCAGUAGGGAAUAUUGGGCAAUGGACGCAAGUCUGACCCAGCCAUGCCGCGUGCAGGAUGAAGGCGUUAUGCGUUGUAAACUGCUUUUAUACAGGAAGAAACGACUCUUGCGAGAGGCAUUGACGGUACUGUAUGAAUAAGCACCGGCUAACUCCGUGCCAGCAGCCGCGGUAAUACGGAGGGUGCAAGCGUUGUCCGGAUUUAUUGGGUUUAAAGGGUGCGCAGGUGGUUUAUUAAGUCAGUGGUGAAAGACGGUCGCUCAACGAUUGCAGUGCCAUUGAAACUGGUAGACUUGAGUAAAGUAGAGGUGGGCGGAAUUGAUAGUGUAGCGGUGAAAUGCAUAGAUAUUAUCAAGAACUCCAAUUGCGUAGGCAGCUCACUUGGCUUUUACUGACACUCAUGCACGAAAGUGUGGGUAUCAAACAGGAUUAGAUACCCUGGUAGUCCACACUGUAAACGAUGAUAACUAGGUGUCGGGCGAAUCUGGUCGGUGCCCCACGAAAGC